AAACACCACACUCCCGCAGACCCAGUUGAGCCGACCACACCUUGUCAACCACCAAGAGAGAGAAUGUUUCGUCUUUUCCUUCUUACUCUGGCGUUGUGCCAUGCUGUCUUUGCAUUUCCACAGGAAGCCAAUAACGAGGAUGAACUUUCACGAGACAUGAACUGUUAAAGCGUGCCUUGGAAAGGAAGUACUUGGAUCAGGCAGCUCCUGCGGUUACAUUGGUAGAUAUCGUCAACCUUCAAACAGAACAGAGUUCCACCCUCGUAUUCAAUGACGUCACUUACGGUUCUGGUAACGCAGUGGACAAGAAUUUCAACUCGGAUCUGAUCCAGGGACGAAGCUGCGCGCACACAGCACCUCAGAACAACCCGUGGUGGAGAGUGUAUCUUCGUGAGCCUCACUGUAUUGUGCAGGUCGGCAUUGUGAACCGUGGAGACGGCGACUAUGACCGUUUGGCCGGAGCUGUGGUGCGUGUAGGCGGACCAGCGUGCGGCUCACCAGUUACCGCGCAGUCGGCCAACAUUCCCGGCGGGAUGAACCUCGUCAUUUGCGAUAAGCCAAUUGCGGGAGAUCAGAUCGUUAUUCACAUUCCAAGAGACGGGGCCAUUUUGCAGAUUUGCGAAGUCCAGGUCUGGGCCGUUCCCAUGAAAUUUUGCAUGUAGAGCAUGGAGGGUCGUGCAACCGGGAAGGACCGACAAGGCCACGGGAUCGACAAGACCACGGACAACGGACAACGGACUUUCGUUUCCACUGCCACAAUAGCUAGUCGUAUAGUCCUUUUGAUUGUCACUUUUAUCGUUCAAUUAAAUGAAUAACCAUUCCUCGAUUCUGAAUUCACAAACAAUUAUAAAAAUCACUAGUUUCUCCAAAAGCAAACUCAGACCACAUGCAUGGUCAUGCCAGUCUUUAUAUUGGUUUGGAAAAAAACACAUGCAUCAUAAGGAGAUAUUCCGACUGACUAGUGUCUAAACAAUUGAGAAAGAUUAGUUCCUCAAACCCGUCAUGAAGUUUUCAUUGGGGAGUACAUGUACAGUACUAAAAUACCAACACGGCGACUAACAUGCCACGAAUUUAAAGUGGACUAGUCAUUCUCAGUGGUCUUCAUCAUAAAAACAAUGAUAAUAUUAGAUACAUACAACAAAAGUCAGUGAUUAAAAUUACCAGUAUCGAAAAUAGCGUGACUUUUACUACCCAAUACGUUUUAGAGCUCACAGCGUUUUGGCACACUCGUCUAACAAACCUCUUUACGUAAUGAGGGAAAAGUUGCAUACUUUAAAUAAACGCAAUAAUUGUAUUGAAAACGAAAUACACUCGUUCACAAUCAGGGAUCUUGAGUUCUUUCUUCGUUCUUUUGUGCAGUAGCCUUAGAAGCACGGUAGUUCAAUUCUGUGCUAGUUCGUUAAUAAAAUAGCGUGGCAGCUAAUUCAAUAAAGCAAA